CUAGAUCUGGAUUUCAAAAAGAUCACUCUGGCAGUAAAAUGGAGUACAACUCAGGAACAGGAGGGCAGAGUGGCUGUUUGGAGAAAGGCAAGAUAAUUUUACAGUCUAGAAGAGAGCCUGGAAAUGCUCCCUUCCACAGAAGUUCCAGCUCCUGCAGCCUAGUUCCGUCCUCAUGCAACCUUCCUUCCGUGAGGUUCUGCCUACCAAGAGGGAAGGAGGAAGGACCUGUGCAAUGAGCUUUAACCCGAGACAGAGAAAGUGAACAAACUGGAAGUCCAGCUGGCAAAUGAGUCCUUUUUGUGUCCAUAUGAAUGAGUUCGCCUAGGUGAAAUAAUUCAAAAGUGGUUUCUGAAUUUGCAAGUUGAGAACUCAGCUCUGGAUUCUUGGUGACCCCAAGUACAGGAGGCCUGAAAGGCCCUGUCUGAGAAUAUGCACUAGGCAGCUCCAUCUCCUGUACUCACCUUUUAACUCCAGUUAAGAAGCUAUCAUGUACACCCCAUCACUGAGAAGAUGUGGAAAGUGAGGCCCAGAGAGGUUUAGUAACUUCUCCAACAUCACACAGUAACUUUUAAGGGCCAGUCCCUGAACUGUCAUCCUAAAACUCAUUAGGUGUGUGAUCCUUUCAAAAUGCUCUACUGGCCGGCAUGUUUAGGGAUGAGUAAUGGAGAGAGUCAUAAAAACAUACUUUUAAAUUAAAUUCUUUUUUUCAAA
rnacentral:lncRNA from 10 species